UGGGGAAUAUUGGACAAUGGGCGCAAGCCUGAUCCAGCGAUGCCGCGUGUGUGAAGAAGGCCUUCGGGUUGUAAAGCACUUUUAUCAGGAGCGAAACGCUGUCGGCUAAUACCCGGCGGAACUGACGGUACCUGAGGAAUAAGCACCGGCUAACUUCGUGCCAGCAGCCGCGGUAAUACGAAGGGUGCAAGCGUUAAUCGGAAUUACUGGGCGUAAAGCGUGCGUAGGCGGUUUCUUAAGUCUGCUGUGAAAUCCCGGGCUCAACCUGGGAAUGGCAGUGGAUACUGGGAGGCUAGAGUGUGUCAGAGGGUGGUGGAAUUCCCGGUGUAGCGGUGAAAUGCGUAGAGAUCGGGAGGAACAUCAGUGGCGAAGGCGGCCACCUGGGACAACACUGACGCUGAGGCACGAAAGCGUGGGGAGCAAACAGGAUUAGAUACCCUGGUAGUCCACGCCCUAAACGAUGCGAACUGGAUGUUGGUCUCAACUCGGAGAUCAGUGUCGAAGCUAACGCGUUAAGUUCGCCGCCUGGGGAGUACGGUCGCAAGACUGAAACUCAAAGG
rnacentral:rRNA from 1 species